AGUGAAUGCAGUGUGUGUAUAUAAUGCAGUGUGUUUGUGUAGUGUUUAUAUAAUGCACACUACACAAACACACUGCAUUAUAUACACACACGGCAUUCAC
rnacentral:miRNA from 1 species